rnacentral:SRP_RNA from 11 species
AGGACGGGGACGCAGCAGCGGUUGGGAGUUGUUUGAGUGCUGGGGC